rnacentral:snRNA from 1 species
UGCUCACUUCAGCAGCACAUAUACUAAAA